CCUUGCUAUUAUGGACUGGAACGAGAAUGUACGUAGAGAGUGUACAAGUGAACGACUGGUUCAGGACAUGAGAAGACCGGAUCGUAGGACUCUCGUAGGACUCCCGUAAGAGUGCUGGUGGAAAAAUCGUUCAACUUUGCCGGAGAAAUAUGGGAGAAUUACGAGCAGCAGAGAAAGUUGACCUCAGUGAGUUUGUAGAGGAAUCAGAUGAGCCAGUAGACCCUCCUCAGAACUCUACAAAAUUUUCCAAUCCCAGAUAACGCCAUUUUGGUUAGUCGAAAGUUUAUAUCCUUCCAUCCCGCAAGACGAAUGCCUAACCAUAAAUAUCAAGAAAUGUUUACCAAUAGAUGAAAAUGAGGACCUAGUAAACGAUGGUGUACAUGAAGAUCUUUAUGAAGACAUAUAAAGCACUUGUGAAUAUUCCCUCCCUCUCUGUAUUCCCUCCCUCUCUCUCUGAGCGUACCAUACGCCGUGAUUACAGUAGCAGGCAACAUGGCCAGAAAUACAGCUUUCAGUUUUAGAUGAAGCUGCUCGUGUGCAUCCAAAAUAAUGAGUGGUGGUGGAUAAAGACCGAUUUAGUUAGCGGUCUUAGAACGUCUGUGUGGUGGAGUGGUGAUGUAGACCGUUUGCUCCAGGAAGCGUACGAGAGCCACAAAAAAAGGAUUGAUUUCCUUUCAGAUUUGGGAGGUACCGGGAUGGUAAACCUUGCUGAGAUAGUGGUGAAAGCGAAAUUAUCGAAGACAUCGAUUUUGUGUGUUCUUUUUGAAAGAUGUAGCCAAGAAAUACGCCGAGAAACAGGCUGAGAAAAAAAGUCCCGAGAAAGUAAGAAUUGGAACGUCUCGACCAGGCUCUAACUGUGGAUUGUCAGUGUUUAGCAGAUAAAGUCAUGGAUCCCAACUAUGAUACAGUUGAGGACAACCUGCCUACUGUUCAUUUAAAGCUAACGCAAUCAAGUAUGCUGAUGGUGUCGUGAAACUGAUGGUGUCGUGAAAUAUCGACGUACCAAAUAUCGACGUACUGCUGCCACCCACAUACUAGUUGUCAUGAUCAGUUCCGAACAACGACCAUACUCAGUGCACCCUUGGAGAUGAGGUGAAACUAAAGAUGAACAAGCACGGGAUGAAGGAGUUAUAUAAUUCAGUAUUUGUAAUUUGUAAUUGUAUAUCCACCGAUGGCGAAUGGAGCAGCUUGCGUUCUAAAAGUGUCCGUACAACGGCUUGGAUUCAAAGCACAUGAAGAGUAUAAAAAAUACUGCUGUACUGAAAAAGAAAGGGAAUCAAACUAAAGUUGCAAUGUGAACGUUGCCAGGAGAAAGGAGAAGAAACAAGAAAUUCGGCGAGUGCAUAACUCCAAUCUGCCCAUGAACACAAUCCGCCAUGAACAUGUACAGCUGAGUGGCCUACUGUUGAUAAUGAUAAUGAUUUUAGAAUCAAAAUACAAGUUGGGUAAAGAUGAACCGCGAAUCACUGAAUUCACAAUCAUCCACCCACACAUCCAACACAUCCAACACUUGCGACUGUAAGGGAAAACAUCACAAACAUUGUAAAAAAUCAUAUGAUAAAAAUUACUGAGCCAGGAAAAGCACAAAACGAACAAAAAAUUGAAACAGAAACAGUACAUGUGAAUGAAGUUGUAACGGAUUGGAGUGUAACGGAUUGGAGUUAUGCACUCGCCGAAUUUUCGCUUUCUCGCGGUUUUCUUUUCCUGGAUAUCCUAGCAACGUUCACAUUGCAAAUGUUUUUUGAGUUUGAUAUGACAUAGUGUUUAACACAAAACAGCAGACUUUCAUAGUGGACCUCUCAUGAACAUUUAAUUUGUGAUAUGAAGUAGCAACACUCCACAUCGGUCCAUGAUGAAGUCUGGCCCAUUUCUGGCCCUGUAGCCAUGAGCGAUAAUCACCAGGACAUGUAGGCACCUAAAGAGGUAAUAAGCUAUACGUGCACUAAUAAGCUUACUUCAUUCAAAUCAUUCGCAGCGAAAAAGUUGAUAAUGUGCUCAAUCAAUCAUCCCCUUCGAGAUUGGUAAACGAGAUUCUUCAACAUGUUUUUAUGUUCUUGCCAAAUUGUAUAUUGUACACGACAUUCGAGCGCUUGUGCUUCUUCAAACGGACCAUGGCCGAUGAUGCAUCGGCCAUGUAUGCCAAGAAAGCUCUAGAGUAGUCUUGCAAUGCUCAGAAAAACUCGAAGUGCACUGACUUCGUCCCCCGGUAGUGCUUGCACUUGCAGAGAGUAUGCAUAUCCAGUAUUCUCCGUACAGCAACCACAGCAAAAACUACUACUGACAAAUGCGGGUACAGUGUGCGCCCGUAUUAUUAGAUGAAACGGGUCAAUAAACGGUAUCCCGUGUUUCAAUAAACGGGCACCGUGUAAUCCCGGAUUGGGACCAAUUAGACGGGCACACUCAGACUGUACCCGCCAAAGUCCCCGUUUGCUACACGUCUACACCCGUCAACCUACCGUGAUGGACCGUGAUAGCUACCGUAUAAAUCACACAAACGAGCUGAUAGACUGUCGACCGUUGGCUA